CUGUACCAACUAACUAUUCCAAUCGUCGGUUUCUCUUCUUCUUCAAUUCUCCAAUUUACCGUGAUCGCCGCCAUCCAAAUCAUCUUGUCUCUGAUGGUGUAGUAAUCUGUCCUCCGAUGAGUGUCUUGGGUUUAUCUUUACUGUCCAGAAUAAGGUGAGGUUAUCAUGAAGCACUUCCCUUUCGUACCAUCCCGCCCAAUUGGAGCCUGCUUUAAAGAAGAUGAGCCAAAUCAUGUUUCAGCGUAGAAGCAAUGUUCCAGAAACUCACAUCUCGGAUCCCCAGUCCUCCCAGUGUUCGGGUACAAGCCUUUGGAAACACAAAAGAUGAAUGCAUUUAGAAGUCCUGUAAAGGGUAAACAUCUUGUCGUGGAGAUAGGAAGGUUUUUGGACACUAACUCCCUGAGGAUCUGAAGAAAUAUUCUGAAUUGAUUAGAAGAGAUCCAUCACUGAAGCUAACAAGGUCGUCUGCAGAACAAAGAUGUGAUUAGAAGAGAUAUCAUCACUGAAGCUUUGCUUUCUAAAUUUUCCUUCCUCAGCGGCUUUGUUCAAAAGGUGUGAUAGAUAGACAAUUCAUAACAAUGAGAAAAAAAAAAAAAAGAAAGAUAGGGACCUUAGAUAGAGAGUUCUAGAACAUGUAAUCCCCUUAGACAGCUUAGAAUGAAUUCCCAUCUGAUCGUAUCAAAUGCUUUAGCAAUGCCCGUAACUAUUCAUUAUCUCUGCUGCAACAAGAGCACUCUCCCACUAAUAGUCUUCCUUGGACAAAAACUAUGUAUAUUGGGGGUAAUAUCAACUCUGGAAGUAUAGGCUUGAGUCGAAUCAUCAGUAGCUUUGAUAUUGACCUUGUAGACAGUAUUACAACACGAGAUAGGCCUGUAAUCUAUGAUUGCAGAAGUUCCUGGCUUCUUAGUGUUAGGAUUGUAGCAUUUGUUGCAGAGGGCAUGUGAGGAAGAAGUGACUUGUAGUUUCGCAAGCAUUCCUUAUCACAGCUACUCAGUGAAAGUAGGUAGUGUUGAGAUCUCCUUCCUUUGACCGAUUGAUUAUGGACUUCUGCUUAUGGUUUUGUAAGCAAUCCUUGUCACAGCUACCUUCACGUGGGUUUCCUUUUCAUUUUUAGUUUUGAGCUCUGUAAAAAGAAACCUCGACAAGUCACUGUAAUCAUCAGCUUUUUAUUAUUAUUAAACAAAGAACCUUUCAAUUUUCAUAAGCAUUUCUUUUUAACG